rnacentral:rRNA from 1 species
UACAGAGGGUGCGAGCGUUGUCCGGAAUCACUGGGCGUAAAGGGCGCGUAGGUGGCCCGACAAGUCUGUGGUGAAAGCUCGACGCUCAACGUCGAGUCGGCCAUAGAUACUGUUGGGCUGGAGCACUGUAGAGGCUCAUGGAAUUCCGGGUGUAGCGGUGGAAUGCGUAGAGAUCCGGAGGAACCCCAGAGGCGAAGGCGGCGCCCUGGCUCGCAACUGACGCUCAGACACGACAGCAUGGGGAGCGAACGGG